ACACACGGAUAACAUACCGAAAGGUAUGCUAAUACGGGAUAAUAUAUUUGAGAGGCAUCUCUUGAAUAUCAAAGGUGAGCCAGUACAGGAUGGACCCGCGUCUGAUUAGCUAGUUGGUAAGGUAACGGCUUACCAAGGCGACGAUCAGUAGCCGACCUGAGAGGGUGAUCGGCCACAUUGGAACUGAGACACGGUCCAAACUCCUACGGGAGGCAGCAGUGGGGAAUAUUGCACAAUGGGCGAAAGCCUGAUGCAGCAACGCCGCGUGAGUGAUGAAGGCCUUCGGGUCGUAAAACUCUGUCCUCAAGGAAGAUAAUGACGGUACUUGAGGAGGAAGCCCCGGCUAACUACGUGCCGGCAGCCGCGGUAAUACGUAGGGGGCUAGCGUUAUCCGGAUUUACUGGGCGUAAAGGGUGCGUAGGCGGUCUUUCAAGUCAGGAGUGAAAGGCUACGGCUCAACCGUAGUAAGCUCUUGAAACUGGGAGACUUGAGUGCAGGAGAGGAGAGUGGAAUUCCUAGUGUAGCGGUGAAAUGCGUAGAUAUUAGGAGGAACACCAGUUGCGAAGGCGGCUCUCCGGACUGUAACUGACGCUGAGGCACGAAAGCGUGGGGAGCAAACAGGAUUAGAUACCCUGGUAGUCCACGCUGUAAACGAUGAGUACUAGGUGUCGGGGGUUACCCCCUUCGGUGCCGCAGCUA
rnacentral:rRNA from 1 species